ACCCCAGGAGCUCUGUGGAUGUUGCUGGAGUGCAGAGGAGUGUUCUACCAUCUCUCUCUCUCUCUCUCUCUAGGGUUUUUCUCUCUCUACAUCGAAUUCGCCGAUUUCGCUCGUUUUCGUCGCCGCGCGCGUUCUUCGCUGGUUGCGAGCGUCGCAGCACCUUUGUGCACGUGCAAGAGAGCGUUUUGAAGGGAUUUUUGCAGCCCUGGACCAGUAAGGAGCUGGUUGCCAGCUUGAGAAGCAGGUCUUUGUGCCUUUUUGAGCUGAACUUGCACUCUUGGAAGCUGGUUUGGAAGCUGCUCUAACCAAGGCAAGAUCGCGAUCGAGCCUUGGAUCGUCUUCGACUGACUUGUGAGGACUCUUGGAGGUUACACUUGAGGAUUGGAGCCUUGUGGAGCUGAUCCUUGGGACUCCUUUGGACUGUUUGGAGCCUUGAACUAGAGCCUGUUACAGGAGAGGCUAGGGAUCGUGGCAAGG